GAGCACUCCGUAAGCCAAGAUCCUUGAAGGAAAACCAUGGUAGAAGCAAUGAACCAAAAGUAAAAUUUUGUUGUUUAAAGACACAGGCUUUGUUGCUACUGAUACUGCAUAAUCACCUAGCCUUCCCUGACUGAAAGUAUGUAUUACUUUCUCUUCUGCUCGCAUGAUUGUAGAAGAUAUUUGUCAUUUCUUGGCUGCCCAUCAAUCAAAUCCUAAGACCCUUCCUUUGCCACCCCUUAUUCCACUUGAAUGAGAUAACGUUUAUGGGAGGAGAGCAUUGCCUCCACCUCAGAAACACAAGGGGAUGAUUAUCCUUCCCACUGCUCUGCCCCAGCCCGGGAAAUAGACCAAUGUCUGCAUCUCAGACAUUUGGAAACUCUUUCCAGAAACUUUGAGUUUUGAAUGUCGGUGAAUUUUGUAACAGCAAGUGAUUAUAAAUCUCCGGAAUUUAUUUUUCUCCUCAACAUAUUUUAUAGAUUUCCAGCUUCCUGAUGAUUUCAUCAACAACCCUUAAAUAGCCUUCUCAUAUAUAAUUAUGAUUACUAUUAGAAUAUCAUAUGCAUUUUGUUAUUAUUAUUAUUACUUAAUACAUGGAGAGUCAGAUGUGUUUCUUGUAACCCAGAACCUUGACUGAGAGUGCUUGUCUUAAGAAUAAUUAUUUGAAGAAUAGACUAGGAAUAAGGGGAUUUAAGCAAAAAAUUGUUUUUUUCCUUUUAAAGACUAAAUGUUUUUGUUAAUUCUUUGAAUUAUUCUUGUUGUUAUUUUAAAAUGCAGUAGAUAGAUUUAUUUAUUUUUAAUUUUUAUUUUAUUUUGAGACAGGGUCUUACUCUGCCACCCAGGCUGGAGUGCACUGGCACAAUUUCAGCUCACUGCAACCUCCACCUCCCAGGCUCAUCAAAUCCUCCCAUCUCAGCCUCCUGAGUAGCUAGGAAUACAGAUGUGUGCUGCCACACCCAGCUACUAUUUUUGUUUUUGGUAUUUUUUUAAAGACUAGGGUUCACCAUAAUGCCCAGGCUGGUCUCAAACUCCUGGUCUCAAGCAAUACGACCCCUUGGCCUCUCAAAGUGGUGGGAUUACAGGCAUGAGCGACUGUGCUCAGGAAAAACUUAAUAAAUUAGAUUGCUUCUUUAAAGAAGGUAAUAUACUCUGAGUUAUAAAAAAAAAAACCCAUUGUUUUAUGGUUCAGCUAUUGUGAGGUUUUCCUACACACACAUCAGCUAUCCACAAGCUUCUUUUCAAUAACUUACCAAUUUUUUUUGCCACUCUCUAACUUCCAAGUAUAUUUGACUUUUAGCCACUGUAUCCUUCCUUGUUAAUGCUUGACUUGUUUAAAUUUGAGGAAGUAAAUAUUUGAUUCAUAUUUCUGUAACUAUAGUGUUGUUGAAGUCUGACAUUAAACAGCUUACAGUCACUAAAUUCACGGACUGCCUUCGGCUUAAACAAUUAAAUAGCAAAAUAUGCUCCUAUAUGUAGCCAAUAAUUGGAGAACUUCGUUAUUG
rnacentral:lncRNA from 1 species